rnacentral:rRNA from 1 species
AGAGUUUGAUCCUGGCUCAGAUUGAACGCUGGCGGUAUGCCUUACACAUGCAAGUCGAACGGUAGAGGAGCAAUCCUCGAGAGUGGCGAACGGGUGAGUAAUACAUCGGAACGUGCCCAGUCGUGGGGGAUAACGUAGCGAAAGCUACGCUAAUACCGCAUACGACCCGAGGGUGAAAGCGGGGGACUCGCAAGAGCCUCGCGCGAUUGGAGCGGCCGAUGGCAGAUUAGGUAGUUGGUGGGGUAAAGGCCCACCAAGCCUGCGAUCUGUAGCUGGUCUGAGAGGACGACCAGCCACACUGGGACUGAGACACGGCCCAGACUCCUACGGGAGGCAGCAGUGGGGAAUUUUGGACAAUGGGCGAAAGCCUGAUCCAGCCAUACCGCGUGCGGGAAGAAGGCCUUCGGGUUGUAAACCGCUUUUGUCAGGGAAGAAAUACUUCGGGCUAAUACCCUGGGGUGAUGACGGUACCUGAAGAAUAAGCACCGGCUAACUACGUGCCAGCAGCCGCGGUAAUACGUAGGGUGCAAGCGUUAAUCGGAAUUACUGGGCGUAAAGCGUGCGCAGGCGGUUCUAUAAGACAGAUGUGAAAUCCCCGGGCUCAACCUGGGAACUGCAUUUGUGACUGUAGAG